AUCAUCUGCCAGGGGACUGUGGGGAACAUGGCAUCCUACCGCACUCUGGUGUGCCCAGUGUGCAAACAUACCUGGUUCCACCGGGGCUGCAUCCAGCGACAGGCCUUGAAUGAUGGCCCUGCAUUCUUCGGGUGCCCUGGCUGUCAGGACAACGCCCGAUUUUGUACUGAAAUGUCCAUCCUUGGGAUCCAUGUCCCAGACAGAAGAUCAGAAUGGGAGGACAGUUACGCGUACACACCAGUUGUAACGCAGC